rnacentral:rRNA from 1 species
AUGUUGGCUUAGAAGCAGCCAUGCAUUUAAAGAGUGCGUAACAGCUCACUGGUCGAGUGGACAUGCGCCGACAAUUCACGGGGCUAAGCGAUGCACCGAAGCGGCGGACUGAGAAUUCAGUGGUAGGGGAGCUCUCCGCGGGGGGCGAAGCAGCAGGGCGACCUGCUGUGGACCGCGCGGAGGUGAGAAUGCUGGCAUGAGUAACGAGACCAGGGCGAGAAACCCUGGCGCCGUGAGCCUAAGGGUUCCUGGGCGAGGCUAAUCCCCCCAGGGUCAGUCGGGAGCUAAGGCGAGGCCGAGAGGCGUAGCCGAUGCGCAGCGGGCAGACAUUCCCGCACCGCCGACGGCGCGGCAUUACCGAUGGGGCGACGGAGAAGGGUAGCCGGGCGGGGUUCUGGACGUCCCCGUGAAAGCGCGUAGGGCGCGCAGCGUGGAAACCAGCUGCGCACGAGGCCUGAGACGCGAGACGAAGCGACCGAGCGAAGCCGGUGAGCCCAUGCUUCCGAGAAAAACCUCUAGGGAGUGCCGUCGGCGCCCGUACCAAAACCGACACAGGUGGGCGGGUAGAACAUACCGAGGCGAUCGGGAGAACCACGGUUAAGGAACUCGGCAUACUGGCCCCGUAACUUCGGGAGAAGGGGCGCCGCCGCCGGUGAUAGCCCUCGCGGCAGGAGCUGGCGGCGGCCGCAGCGAAACGGCCCAAGCGACUGUUUAUCAAAAACACAGGACUCUGCAAAGCGGUAACGCGACGUAUAGGGUCUGACGCCUGCCCGGUGCCGGAAGGUUACGCGGAUGCGUCAGCCGAAAGGCGAAGCGCUGAAGCCAAGCCCCGGUAAACGGCGGCCGUAACUAUAACGGUCCUAAGGUAGCGAAAUUCCUUGUCGGGUAAGUUCCGACCUGCACGAAUGGCGUAACGAUUUGGGCGCUGUCUCAACCGUGGACCCGGUGAAAUUGUACUGUUCGUGAAGAUGCGAACUACCCGCGGAAGGACGGAAAGACCCCGUGAACCUUUACUGCAGCUUGGCAUUGGCAUCUGGUACGGCGCGUAGAGGAUAGGCGGGAGCCUUUGAAGCGGGGGCGCAAGCCCCCGUGGAGGCGACCUUGGAAUACCGCCCUCGUCGUGCCGGCUGCCUAACGCGCGGCCGUGAUCCGGCGCGCGGACCGUGCCAGGCGGGUAGUUUGACUGGGGCGGUCGCCUCCCAAAACGUAACGGAGGCGCGCGAAAGGUCCGCUCAGGACGGUCGGCAACCGUCCCGAGAGCGCAAGAGUGCAAGCGGGCUUGACUGCGAGAGAGACACCUCGAGCAGGGACGAAAGUCGGUUCUAGUGAUCCGGCGGCACAGAGUGGAAUGGCCGUCGCUCAACGGAUAAAAGGUACUCCGGGGAUAACAGGCUGAUCUUGCCCAAGAGUCCACAUCGACGGCAAGGUUUGGCACCUCGAUGUCGGCUCAUCGCAUCCUGGGGCUGAAGUCGGUCCCAAGGGUACGGCUGUUCGCCGUUUAAAGCGGUACGCGAGCUGGGUUCAGAACGUCGUGAGACAGUUCGGUCCCUAUCCUCCGCGGGCGCAAGGGAGUUGAGGAGAUCUGCCCCUAGUACGAGAGGACCGGGGUGGACGGACCUCUGGUGACGCGGUUGUCGACCAACGGCACCGCCGCCUAGCUACGUCCGGCACGGAUAACCGCUGAAGGCAUCUAAGUGGGAAGCCGCCUCCGAGAUGAGCUCCCUUUCCGGUAAGGGCCCAGAUAGACUAUCUGGUCGAUAGGGCGCAGCUGCAAGCAGGGCGACCUGCUCAGGCGAGCGCUACUAAUAGCCCGAGCUCUUCUUC